CCUACGGGCCGCAGCAGUGGGGAAUAUUGGACAAUGGGCGCAAGCCUGAUCCAGCCAUGCCGCGUGUGUGAGGAAGGCCUUAGGGUUGUAAAGCACUUUCAUUGAGGAGGAAGGCUAUUUGGCUAAUACCCAAAUAGAUUGACGUUACUCAAAGAAGAAGGACCGGCUAACUCCGUGCCAGCAGCCGCGGUAAUACGGAGGGUCCAAGCGUUAAUCGGAAUUACUGGGCGUAAAGCGCGCGUAGGCGGUUAGUUAAGCGAGAUGUGAAAUACCUGGGCUCAACCUGGGAAUUGCGUUUCGAACUGGCUAGCUAGAGUACAGUAGAGGGUGGUGGAAUUUCCAGUGUAGCGGUGAAAUGCGUAGAGAUUGGAAGGAACAUCAGUGGCGAAGGCGACUGCCUGGACUGAUACUGACGCUGAGGUGCGAAAGCGUGGGGAGCAAACAGGAUUAGAUACCCGAGUAGUC
rnacentral:rRNA from 1 species